GACGAACGCUGGCGGCGUGCUUAACACAUGCAAGUCGAACGGAAAGGCCCUGCUUUUGUGGGGUGCUCGAGUGGCGAACGGGUGAGUAACACGUGAGUAACCUGCCCUUGACUUUGGGAUAACUUCAGGAAACUGGGGCUAAUACCGGAUAGGAGCUCCUGCUGCAUGGUGGGGGUUGGAAAGUUUCGGCGGUUGGGGAUGGACUCGCGGCUUAUCAGCUUGUUGGUGGGGUAGUGGCUUACCAAGGCUUUGACGGGUAGCCGGCCUGAGAGGGUGACCGGCCACACUGGGAUUGAGAUACGGCCCAGACUCCAACGGGAGGCAGCAGUGGAGUAGAUGGCACAACGGGCGGAAGCCUGAUGCAGCAACGCCGCGUGCGGGAUGACGGCCUUCGGGUUGGAAACCGCUUUCGCCUGUGACGAAGCGUGAGUGACGGUAAUGGGUAAAGAAGCACCGGCUAACUACGUG
rnacentral:rRNA from 1 species